rnacentral:SRP_RNA from 1 species
GCUGGGCAUGGUGGCGCGUGCCUAUAAUCCCAGUUACUCAAGGAGGCUGAGGCAGGAGAAUCUCUUGAACCCAGGAGACGGAGGUUGCAGUGAGCUGACAUCAUGCUACUGCACUCCAGCCUGGGCAACAGAGUGAGACCCUGUCUCAA